rnacentral:rRNA from 1 species
CCUACGGGUGGCAGCAGUGGGGAAUAUUGCACACUGGGCGAAAGCCUGAUGCAGCGACGCCGCGUGAGCGAAGAAGGCCUUCGGGUCGUAAAGCUCUGUCCUACGGGAAGAAAGAUGACGGUACCAUAGGAUUAAGCCCCGUCUAACUACGUUCCAGCAGCCGCGGUAAUACGUAGGGGGCGAGCGUUGUCCGGAAUGCCUGGGCGUAAAGGGUACGUAGGCGGCUAGAUAAGUCAGAUGUGAAAGGCAUGUGCUGAACCUGUGUAAGCAGUUGAAACUGUCUAGCUUGAGUCAAGGAGAGGAAAGUGGAAUUCCUGGUGUAGCGGUGAAAUGCGUAGAUAUCAGGAGGAAUACCAGUGGAGAAGGCGACUUUCUGGACUUAGACUGACGCUGAGGUACGAAAGCGUGGGGAGCAAACAGGAUUAGAUACCCCAGUAGUC